UACAGAGGGUGCAAGCGUUGUUCGGAAUUAUUGGGCGUAAAGCGCGUGUAGGCGGCUUAGCAAGUCGGGCGUGAAAGCCCUCGGCUCAACCGAGGAAGUGCACCCGAAACUGCUGAGCUUGAGUGCCGGAGAGGAUGGCGGAAUUCCCCAAGUAGAGGUGAAAUGCGUAGAUAUCAGGAGGAACACCGGUGGCGAAGGCGUCCCUCUGGCCGGAUACUGACGCUGAGACGCGAAAGCGUGGGGAGCAAACAGG
rnacentral:rRNA from 1 species